rnacentral:rRNA from 1 species
CCUACGGGAGGCAGCAGUGAGGAAUAUUGGUCAAUGGACGAGAGUCUGAACCAGCCAAGUAGCGUGAAGGAUGACUGCCCUAUGGGUUGUAAACUUCUUUUAUAUGGGAAUAAAAUGUUCCACGUGUGGGAUUUUGUAUGUACCAUAUGAAUAAGGAUCGGCUAACUCCGUGCCAGCAGCCGCGGUAAUACGGAGGAUCCGAGCGUUAUCCGGAUUUAGUGGGUUUAAAGGGAGCGUAGGUGGAUUGUUAAGUCAGUUGUGAAAGUUUGCGGCUCAACCGUAAGAUUGCAGUUGAAACUGGCAGUCUUGAGUACAGUAGAGGUGGGCGGAAUUCGUGGUGUAGCGGUGAAAUGCUUAGAUAUCACGAAGAACUCCGAUUGCGAAGGCAGCUCACUGGACUGCAACUGACACUGAGGCUCGAAAGUGUGGGUAUCAAACAGGAUUAGAUACCCCAGUAGUC